AAAGAACCACUUUUCCAGAAUAUUCAGUUAAAGGCAAACAAGAUCCAACAGUCAAUAAACCAAAUGGUCCAACAGUCUAACGCAAAACAUCCAACAGUCACACACCAAAAGGUCCAUUAGAUAACAAAGCUAACCAGAGCUACCAUGGAAAACAUUCGCUGUCAUUUAAAUCUCCACAGUAGCUAAAUUAUCUGAUCAUGCUUCAUUCUUCGCACCACCGGUUUGGUGGAGCAUAGCAUCAAUUUCAUCCCCUUCUUCCAUUUCCAAUUCAUCAGGUGUCUGCUCGCCGCGAAGCCUGCGGCCAUCAAAAAGAAAGGCAAUAGAAUUGAAGUCGACCGACUGGCGAUCACAGUAUGCAUUCAUCAGCUUCUUGAGCUGAGUGCUACGCUUGAUCCUGAAGAAGACCUCAUUGCCAUCCUGGCCCUUGACCUUGAGAUUGAUGUGAGCGCCCUGAUCGGGCGCCGGCUUCUUGUCUUCGUCCAUCCCUGGGGCCGACAUCUCUUCCGCUGCUGCUGGGUUUGGGAUCGGCUGUUAGGGUUUCUAGGGU
rnacentral:misc_RNA from 1 species